rnacentral:rRNA from 1 species
GAUGAACGCUGGCGGCGCGCCUAACACAUGCAAGUCGAACGAUUAAAGCACCUUCGGGUGUGUAUAAAGUGGCGCAAGGCUGAGUAACACGUGUGCAACCUGCCCCUUUCAUUUGGAUAGCCACUGGAAACCGUGGAUAAUACCGAAUACAUCGAGACUUCCGCCUGGGAGACUCGUGAAAGCUCCGGCGGGGGGGGAUGGGCCCGCGGCCUGUUAGCUUGUUGGUGGGGGAAGGGCCUACCAAGGCAAUGAAGGGUAGCUGGGUUGAGAGGGCGACCGGCCAGAUUGGGACUGAGACACGGCCCAGACUCCUACGGGAGGCAGCAGUGGGGAAUCUUGCACAAUGGGCGGAAGCCUGAUGCAGCAACGCCGCGUGCGGGAUGAAGGCCUUCGGGUUGUAAACCGCUUUCGGCAGGGACGAGGCGAAAGUGACGGUACCUGCAGAAGAAGCCCCGGCUAACUACGUG